ncrna:unclassified sequences L13-Bacteroidia ribosomal protein leader
UGGGGCACGCUUAGAGCCCCAAGACAUGGUUGUGUUAAUAGCGUCGCCUUUGGCCGGACGGCGCGGUUAGUGAAUC